GGAGAACAUCCAAAGGGGUCUCCCUCGGUGCUGCUUCGGCCGGGAAGGUGGCCGAGAGAGGCGAAGAGCAAAGACAGGUGCAAAGGUCCUACCACCUCAAGUGGAAACAAACACCAGCAGUGGAGAAGGAAGAGGGACUCAUUCGGGGCUUUGGAGUCAUUUCCCUCCAGGCUUGAGAAUGGCAGGGAUGAUUCCUUUCAUGAUAAAUUCUCACCCCGGCUCUUGCAUCUAAUUCCCAGCAAGCUGGGGUUGGCUAAAGAACAGUGAAUAUUCUACACUCACAAGAGACCGAAAGAAGAGCUCCAGCCCAAGACAUGCCAGUGCUGUUUCUCCUUCUCUAAAAAGGUGAAAGGCCCCCCUCUCCUGGUGGAGAUUCCAAAUAGGAGCACAGGCGAGAAGACGCGACACGCAGGGCAGUUAGAGCGGCAUGGCGCCCAAUAGACCUCGCAAGUUUUCAUCAGAAAAGGCGGUGUCCGUCUGGCUCAAGAGAUGGCUCUAGGGGAGUAGGGAAGGGCUGGACUCUGGAAAAAUACAUGCUAUUCUUUCCUCCUAUGUGAAUAUAGGGUCAAAAUAAAAUCAUUGC